AAUUCAGCUGAACGGCACGCAGUAUGUGGCUAUCCUUCGCACGGUACACUUCAACGGUGCUAAGAGAGGCAAUAGGAAGCUGCAUUAUAAGGGAUUUGCCUCGGAUGUGGAACUGGCUAUUACUUGGUAUUCGCGGUAUAAUGGAAUGGCUCUAAUAUGUCGAAAAUCCGACGCCAUGAAGAGGUUUUAUAAAGAAUUCAUACAAGAGCCGUGAGUACAGUUAGCCGCCACGUCACGUGCCACCAAUCUUUGCACUGCUUCAGAAAACUUCAUACAUUCACCAUGCAGACCGCUGCCGUACCCAUGGAGGUAUACCUCCAUGGCCGUGCCUGUGCAGUCACGAAAGCCAGUAGUCCAGUUCACACAGGCCUUCGCAUCAGUUACGUCACGCCACUUCAAAACAUUCUACAACGCAUUUCAAAUGGCGGAAUUGGCACAGGCGUCGAAGCACCUUCACCUCACGUUAAGGUCUCGGAAAGAGUGUUUUAACUGUGUCACCGUCUGCUAAUAUCGGAAGUUAACCUCUUUAUGUAUGUUAUACUAGGUUACUCAUGAUAUUAUAUCUUUACUUUCGAGAUAAUAAAUCGGUUGUCUGUUGUGGAUAAGCGCUAUUAUUGUAAAUUGAAAUAAAUGAAUGUGUGUUUAAACGACAA